rnacentral:tRNA from 3 species
GCCAAGGUGGCGGAAUGGCAGACGCGGCGGUUUCAAAAACCGCAAUCCGAAAGGGUGUGAGGGUUCGAGUCCCUCCCUUGGCACCA